rnacentral:rRNA from 1 species
UAAGGAAUGCAUGCGAUUGGAAGUGCAUGUCCAAGCAAUGAGUCUUGAGUAGAGUUAAAUGCUUUACUCUUUAAGGACAAGUUGUGACGGGGAGCGAAAUAAUAGUAGCGAAGUUCCUGAUGUCACACUGCCAAGAAAAGCUUCUAGUGAGAAAACAACUGCCCGUACCGUAAACCGACACAGGUAGUCGAGGAGAGUAUCCUAAGGUGAGCGAGCGAACUCUCGUUAAGGAACUCGGCAAAAUGACCCCGUAACUUCGGGAGAAGGGGUGCUGACUUCGGUCAGCCGCAGUGAAUAGGCCCAAGCGACUGUUUAUCAAAAACACAGGUCUCUGCAAAAUCGUAAGAUGAAGUAUAGGGGCUGACGCCUGCCCGGUGCUGGAAGGUUAAGAGGAUGGGUUAGCUUCGGCGAAGCUCAGAAUUGAAGCCCCAGUAAACGGCGGCCGUAACUAUAACGGUCCUAAGGUAGCGAAAUUCCUUGUCGGGUAAGUUCCGACCCGCACGAAAGGCGUAACGAUUUGGGCACUGUCUCAACGAGAGACUCGGUGAAAUUUUAGUACCUGUGAAGAUGCAGGUUACCCGCGACAGGACGGAAAGACCCCAUGGAGCUUUACUGUAGUUUGAUAUUGAGUGUUUGUACCACAUGUACAGGAUAGG